UACGAAGGGGCUAGCGUUGCUCGGAAUCACUGGGCGUAAAGGGUGCGUAGGCGGGUCUUUAAGUCAGGGUGAAAUCCUGGAGCUCAACUCCAGAACUGCCUUUGAUACUGAGGAUCUUGAGUUCGGGAGAGGUGAGCGGAACUGCGAGUGUAGAGGUGAAAUUCGUAGAUAUUCGCAAGAACACCAGUGGCGAAGGCGGCUCACUGGCCCGAUACUGACGCUGAGGCACGAAAGCGUGGGGAG
rnacentral:rRNA from 1 species